AUAAAGCAAAGGCAUUAAAAGCUAAAACACCUAGUGUCAAAACCAAGAAAGCAGCGGUCAAUAAGAAACCGGUCACCAAGAAAGCGCCAACUAAAAAGUAAAACCUAGGGCUACAAAAAUUCUUAACAUAUCGAUCAGAAAUGGAUUUUUAUCAAAAACACACGGACAUCAUAUAAAUAUUUAAACUACGUGUCACGUUUAUAUCUCAUUUGUGUUAAAAGUAAAACAAUUCAUACAUAAAAAAAAAAAUAUAUAUUUCUAAACAUAA